rnacentral:rRNA from 1 species
GACGAACGCUGGCGGCGUGCUUAACACAUGCAAGUCGAACGGAAAGGCCCUGCUUUUGUGGGGUGCUCGAGUGGCGAACGGGUGAGUAACACGUGAGUAACCUGCCCUUGACUUUGGGAUAACUUCAGGAAACUGGGGCUAAAACGGAUAGGAGCUCCCGCUUCCAUGGGGGGGGUGGGAAGUUUCGGCGGUUGGGGAUGGACUCGCGGCUUAUCAGCUUGUUGGUGGGGUAGUGGCUUACCAAGGCUUUGACGGGUAGCCGGCCUGAGAGGGUGACCGGCCACAUUGGGACUGAGAUACGGCCCAGACUCCUACGGGAGGCAGCAGUGGGGAAUAUUGCACAAUGGGCGGAAGCCUGAUGCAGCAACGCCGCGUGCGGGAUGACGGCCUUCGGGUUGUAAACCGCUUUCGCCUGUGACGAAGCGUGAGUGACGGUAAUGGGUAAAGAAGCACCGGCUAACUACGUG